rnacentral:rRNA from 1 species
AGUGAACGCUGGCGGUAGGCCUAACACAUGCAAGUCGAACGGCAGCACAGUAAGAGCUUGCUCUUACGGGUGGCGAGUGGCGGACGGGUGAGGAAUACAUCGGAAUCUACUUUUUCGUGGGGGAUAACGUAGGGAAACUUACGCUAAUACCGCAUACGACCUACGGGUGAAAGCAGGGGAUCUUCGGACCUUGCGCGAUUGAAUGAGCCGAUGACGGAUUAGCUAGUUGGCGGGGUAAAGGCCCACCAAGGCGACGAUCCGUAGCUGGACUGAGAGGAUGAUCGGCCACACUGGAACUGGGACACGGUCCAGGCUCCUACGGGAGGCAGCAGUGGGGAAUAUUAGACAAAGGGCGCAAGCCUGAUCCAGCCAUACCGCGUGGGUGAAGAAGGCCUUCGGGUUGUAAAGCCCUUUUGUUGGGAAAGAAAAGCAGCAGGUUAAUACCCCGCUGUUCUGACGGUACCCAAAGAAUAAGCACCGGCUAACUUCGUG